rnacentral:tRNA from 1 species
GCCGAGAUGUUGUAAUAGGUAGCCAAGACAGACUUAAACUCUGUUGACCAUUAAGGUCGUGCGGGUUCGAUUCCCGCUCUCGGUA